AUGUCCAGUGGCUGGUAAGGAUUUAUGAUGCUUGUGGAUUGGAUAAUAUAUAGGAUAUUCAGGAUGGAAGAUGUGUUCUCCGACCAGUGAUAAGGAGAAAGGACUUUUCCUUCUGUCCACUUUUGUUCUUCUGACAAAAAUAAAUCUAGGGGCAUUCUUUAGAUGACUGCUGGAUGACAGAAGGUCACCGUAUGUCCUGUCAUAUCUGUAACAUGUGCCUAAAUGUUACCAGUGCCACCUUUGCCUUUCAUGACAACUUGGAAAGAAGAGUUGAUAAAAGGGGAUCCAGCUCAUGCUGCAGAUGACCACUGGUGCUGAACGUCACAGCUGAAACUGCAACUUGCCCGCCACAGGCAGAGUAAAGAUGGAUCAUCUCUGGUGGCAGCAGGGAAGCUGUAGUGAGGCAGUGAUGGGCUGUGACUUUGUGGUUCAUUUAGAGAACAGCUGGAUGGGGAUAUUUUCCAGCCAGGGGAGGCAGCAGCUCUUGCAUUCCCCCUCCGCAGCAAAGGGAAGUGGCUGCACACCCAGGUAGGACGGGGACAGCACCUGUGCAACUGACUCUGAUCUUCCCAGUGGACUUGCUCACUUGGAGAGACUUCAAAGUAGGCUUAACUUUAUACUACAGAAGAAAGAAGUCAGAUUUCCAAAUCACAAGUUAUCCUGUAUUAAAAAUGUAGUAUUCCUUGUGGCCAGUGCUGAUGUACCCAUGAGCAUCCUCAUAGGCAAAUAUGUUUCCACCCUGAGACCUGCACUCAACCUGGAAAAUAUUGCAUAUACAGCAUGUGACAGAAAUUAUGCCAAUACCUCAUUACACGUGGUUAUCCUACUGCUAUACAGAACAAACUACUUUAAAAACAUCAAAAAAGCCAAACUAUGUGUACUCUAGUAUUGCUUUUCUUCACAUUUUUCCUGCAGUUUCCUUAUGGUUUUGAUAAACUCUUUGUGUUUUGAGAGUAGUACUGUUAUCGUGGGUUAGAGUCUCUGUGUGAGAAGCCAAGUGCUUUAAGGCUGGCUGUGAGGCUAAGAAAGAAGCCUGGAAUGAUCAGCUUGAGGUACAUCUUAGUUAUGGGAAUCACAAAAUUCUUGCCUGUCUCUGGUGGAAAAGAACUCUCAAGGGCAUGGACACCAUAAUGUUAGGGAACUGCCAACAGCAUAACUCUGACUUAGAGAUGUGAAUGUUUGCUUAAACUUUCUCCAAGGGAGGAAAUAGUGCUCAGAACUACACACAGCUUAUUUCCACGCUUUUGUGUCAAGAACGGAAUUCUCCUAAGAUAGGAAAUUGAACAUAAUAACUGUUUAUGUAAAAUAGUUAAUACAGUGAUGGUUUGUUUUUUUUUUUUUUUUUUUUAAAUCAACACUUUUAGAAAAUCGUAGUAGGGGUUUAAUAGACAGCUGUUGAAGGACGCAUGAGUAUGGCAACAUUAGCUAUAUUCAAGCUGCUUGGAGGCCGGAGGCUUUUUCCUAUUUUUUUUUUCCCUCUCAUAAAUCUUAGUGCAUGAAUAGGUGAUACACAGAGUGUUACAAUGUCACUUCAAUUCUUUACAUGAAAGUUAACAAAUCCUACAUGCUGAAGCAAUGUGAAACCAAAUUCAACAGAAGUCAGGUGGCUGCUAUUUGUGUACUCUAGCAUGAGUGCUGGUAACUGUGCAGUGAUGGAAGAUCAAAGCAAAACAAACAAAACCUUACAAUACCUCUAUGCUUCCCCAAAACAAAACAACAGUAAUUAAUGUUGGAUAAAACACUUUUGACUGUAAGCUGCUGAAUAUUACUCACAGAAUAUAUUAUCCUCCCAAAGUAGCUGUUAUUCAUUAAAUAAAUUAUUCAAGAAUAAUCUUUUGCAGUAUUUGACCAUCUCUCUAUUUGGUUGAAUGCCAACUCAUUGAACAAACUGUUCAAAAGAUAACAGCUUGAUUCAUGUAUAAUGUACUUGAAAAGCUUCUUUUCUGGUUCUUACCAUCUCUGCUGAGACUAAGUAGUAUCCUGGGCAUUUAUUAAUAAUUUGUCUUAUGGCUGGCAAAAAUGAAUGUAGGCACCAAUAAAGGACAGGAUCUGACUUACCCUGAGGUCAGUCAGGGUUUUUCCAUUGACUUUAAGCUAGUCCAGGGUUUCACCUGAGGUGUUUAAAUGAUGACUUUGAAUUGUGAUGCAUAUUGUUAGUGUAUUUAAGUUUGUCUAUAAAGAACUGAUUCUAUUGUAAUAUCUUACAGUGAUGACAGUGUGCCAUAACAUUUUGGUAUAAACUUUCUAUAGAUGAUUGAUGUAGGAAUAGAAUAAUUAUCCAACAUGAACAGACCUGUUUGUGUUAGUUACCUCUCUUAAGAGUCACUCUUUGAGCUUAUAUCAAUCUGUAAAUCACUGAAAGUAUGGAAAUUGCAGUGGUGAUGUUGAUA